rnacentral:lncRNA from 1 species
UCCCCAAACAUUACCAGCAGCAUCAACUCCGACAACUUGUGGGGGAGCCACUGCAAAUCCACCGCCAGCAUCACCGCCAAUAACUUCAGGUGGGAUCACUGAAAAUCCACCACCGGAUGUGGCAUUACCUCCAACUAGCGGACCACCGAAUACUUGAGGCCCAACCGAAAAUCCACCAACAGCAUAGGGAUAAAAAUGAGGCACACAGAAACUUUCCGGAUAGCCACCAUUUCCAUAAUACGCAGGUGGAUAUACGUUACCUGUGUUUACGUAUUGACCGCUAUAUGGGAUUGGAGCUGCAUAUAAAUAUAAAUAUAAAUCAUUAAACAAUAUAUAUACACACACACACACACACACACACACACAAUUUUGACACUUUGCAUCAUCGAAACAAAUUAAUUCAAUUUACACCUCAAAACACAAUAAAUCAUGCAUACUGCACCCAAAUGAAUUUUUAUAGCUAAUAAGGGUAAUUUAAUAUUUUCACUGGUAUUUUUUAGGAUGACAAAUGUCAAAUCAUUUUUUUAUUCAAUCAAUCAUUUUGAAACUAUAAAGUCCAAAAAUUAUAAAUACAUCUCAUUAACAUAUUUAAAAAUUAUAUUUUUUUAUCACAAACAAUCUUUUACGAAAAACACACAUAAUAUAUAUAUAUAUAUAUAUAUAUAUAUAUAUAUAUAUAUAUAUAUAUAUAUAUAUAUAUAUAUAUAUAUAUGAGAACGAUAAUGAAAAAGGGUUUUAGAUGGAAAACUAAUAUAAAAACGGGAAAAAUGUUACCGUUAGCCCUCAUCUCAGCAUUCAACACCUCAGUGCGCAACUUUUCGACUUCAGCAGACAAGCCGAUUAGGUCUUUCUCCAAAGUCUUCAUUUGUUCCACUUUUUCUGUGUUUACGCCUUUUUCAUGUUCAAACGUCUUGCUUCAUUUUCACAACCCAAAAAAAUAAAAUAAAAAAAAAGAGUCGAAAGUAAGUAUAAUAAAAGGAACACCGAACAUAAAUUCAUAACGUAUAUCAAAGACGUAUCACAAAAGAAACACGAAAGUAAAUUGAAAAAUCAUUUCUUUACUAUAUUAUAUAACGAAAAAAAAUGCUUAUUUCACUUACCGUAACCUCUGAUGUUCUUCCCUCAAGCUAUCAAGUUCCGUACGCAUUUCCGGAAUCUCCUUAACAUCCGCACGCAUUUCCGGAAUCUUCUUAACAUCCGCACGCAUUUCCCGGAAUCUCCUUACAUCCGCACGCAUUUCCGGAAUCUUUUUAACAUCCGCAAGAGAAUUAUCCAACUCUUUAGUCGCCAGCUGGAUCUUAUUAGUCAACUCCAGCGUCUCUUUGACCAAACCCCGUUUUCCAUUAUGGGCCUCUUGAAGUUCUUUCUUUAUACUGCUCCCAUUUCGGAUGUCGGCUUCCAUUUUUGCAAUCUUGUCCAACAAAAUCCUUCAAGAACCAAAUUACAAAAGAUGUAUUACAAGUUACAACACACACAUCCCGUACAACAGAAUAAAGAAAAAAAUUAGUAUGUCCCGCACAGGAUGGCCUAGCGAUUGGAGCAAAUAAGAUUUGGGUCAAUUAACCCAAGUUCGAAUACUCUUGUCCACGGUCGUUAGGUCAGCUUGUCACACAUGAUUAGCCUAAUAUAGUUUAUAUAUUUCAUAUGAUUUGCACACUAUUAUACGAGAAUACUCAGUGCACUUAUAUAGUUGAAUAGUGCACUAUAUAUAGUUGUAUACGAGAAUACUCAGUGCACUUAUAUAGUUGAAUAGUGCACUAUAUAUAGUUGAAUAGUGCACUUAUAUAGUUGAAUGUGGGUUCAUUUAUGACAAAAAAAGAAAAAAAAAAUGAAGUAUAAUAUGUCUCAUUCAUCUUUGUAAAUAUUACCAUUAACACCAAACAAAUAACAUUUCAGCCCAACAAACAAGUUCUCUACAACAACUGUUAAUAUAAGUUAUAACUUCAAAGAAAGUAUAAAACCAUUUGUGAAGAACUAUUAUAAUUUGAGAUGAUUUAAUUAACAGGUUAAUUUAAUUGUUCAAUAUCUUAUAGCAUAACAGCCUCCAAAUUCCUAAAUAAAUUAUCGUCUAUAUCUGAGGAGCACUGGACUUAUCGUACACCCCUCCCCAAACAUUACCAGCAGCAUCAACCCCGACAACUUGAGGGGGGGCCACUGCAAAUCCACCGCCAGCAUCACCGCCAAUAACUUGAGGUGGGACAACUGAAAAUCCACCACCGGAUGUGGCAUCACCGCCAAUAACUUGAGGUGGGACCACUGAAAAUCCACCACCGGAUGCGGCAUCACCGCCAACUAACGGACCAGCGAAUACUUGAGGCCCAAUCGAAAAUCCACCAACGGCAUACGGAUAAAAAUGAGGCAUACUGAAACUUUCCGGAUAGCCACCAUUUCCAUAAUACUGAGGUGGAUAUAUGUUACCUGUGUUUACGUAUUGACCGCUGUAUGGGAUUGGAG